rnacentral:misc_RNA from 1 species
CUGACUCAGUCUGAACUGAACCGUAGGACUGAGCACUCUUCGUGAGAUGGAAGUUUAAUAGUGUUGUGUGUAGUGUAUAUAUAUAUAGUGAUAAUACUUCCUUGUUGAAUAUGGUUUAAGCUUCGGUUACAGUUGCUCCAGGCUCCUGAAUUCUAGGCCCAGAAGUGUGCAGUUGUGCACGAUGUGGCGCCUCUGUAUCCUUGUACUGUUCUGCACAGAGCAGUACACUUCCCACCCCGUCACAGAACAUAUAUCACAUAAAGAGGUGACUGAACAUUUUGCUAAAACAAAACCCGGUGAAAUAGUUCGAAUUCCUGCAUCUGUCUUCACUAAUAUUCAGGCCGACGAAGAGUUUGAUUUUGAUGUAACAGUGACCCCUUCUGUUGCGCGUUUACAACUUUCAGCUGAUCAACAGCUGAACAAAUCCUCUAAUCUAGAAAGCAAAUCCGCAACCAGUGUACCCGUGAUCAGAGCAAAUCGUGAUGAUAAUGGAACUUCAAGCGUUCUUGUCAAUACAGACUUGGCACAGGAAGAUGAUUUGUCGGAGCAAUUAGAAAAUCAAAGUGAUUUAUAUGAUAAACUCUUUCAUGCAUUCGACGGAGGGAUCGUUAGUUACUUUGAGAACACGACCAACAAUCCACUAGAAAACCUCAAGGAUUUUUCAACGUGGAAACCAGUAGAGCAGCAGGAUGUUGAUUACUACGGUGAACUAGAGAACAGUGUGCAGGGAAAUGAGUUUAAUCUUUACGAUCAACUGGCUGUUGAAUCCGGUUCAGAAAUGAUUCAUCAUACAAUUCUACCAACUCAUCUUCAAACAGAGGCGAGCAUAGCAGUAGAGGAAUCUAACGAUGAAUUGAGUCCAGUAGAGGAAUCUAUCCAGGAAGGGAGCUCGAAGAAGGAGUCUACGGAAACCCCCCUGGGAGAGAGAGAAGAAAAGGAUAUUGGAGAUAUAUAUUUAGUAAAGAUGUCCACUGCUAGCUCUCAGUCUGAGGUGGAGACAAGGAUAAGGAUUAGUCCUACCGAACCUACUUCAGUUAAUGAAGAACCAGAGGCGAAACCUAAUCCAUCAGAGAACGAAGGACAUGAUUCUACUAAAGAAGAAGACCCAGUUCAGAAGCCUUUUGCUGAACCUAGAAAUGGGGAUAUAGAAGCAAUUGCUCAGACUGGUUUAGGAUUUACUGAAGCGUCUGAGGAGGUUUAUACUCCGGGUACUCUCUCAAUAGUAGAGAUACAUCCCACCAGUACUCCAGGUUACGGGGACAGUGCAUCGUUGAGCCUUGAGGAGACGUUUACAAUUAAGUUUGAGGAGGUUCAGGAUCCCUCCCUGCUUCCUCGUGAUUUCCAGAGUAAUGCAGAGGAUGAGUUUUAUCCAGAGUAUACGGAACCUGAACCAGAAGUUUACCCAGAGAUUAAAGAACCUGAACCUGAAUCCGAACCCGAACCUGCCUCCGAACCUGCAUCCGAACAUGCCUCCGAACCUGCCCCCAAAUCUGCCUCCGAACCGGAACCUACCUCUGAGCCCGAACCUGAACCCGAAUCCGAUCAUGAUCUCUAUGGUAACCAUGAGUUUGAAGUUGACGAAGAAGAAUAUUUCCAAUCCGGGUCUGAGUUUACUACGGAUGAAGAUGAAGGUUCAGAAACUCAUCUUCAUGAGAGUCUUCAGUCUGGAUUCUCCAGGCAGGGUCUGGACUGGGAGGGGGAGCAGGAGGUUGCCGGAAUCCUCAGCUCCGACCUCUACGAAGUUGUAACCUCUAAUUCAGAGAUCCUCGAGGCCCAGGGAUCGUUAGAACUGGAGUCUGAGGAGGAGGAUGUUAAAACUGAUCAUUUCUUCGAUCCUCAUGUUCAGGGUGGGUUGGAGGAAGCACGGGAGAUGUUUAUCCAUGAACUUGAGAAGAAAUAUGAGAUCAACCUGGACAACGUGGAGGACAGGAAGUUCGAGAAUAUAAUGGAGCACCCUAUGCAUGAGGAAAACCAUGUCCACCUAUCCCUCUCCAAUCCCCUUAUCACCCUUAUGGACGUGCAACCUCAUUCUAUGCGGUUAAUGAUUAAACCUAAGGAAAUGCAUCCAAAAACCACGAUAAAGAUUCUUUAUGAACGAGUUCCUCGAAAUAAACCUCCACUAAUGCAUCAUCUGGAUGAUCCCGUUGUUGAAUCGUUUAUAAUGCUAAACCAGGCCAGCCAGGAGUAUGGGUUGGACAACCUGCCAAUGGGAAAGUAUAUUGUGUGUGCUGAAGCUUCUGUAGAUUUAAAUAUUUUUCAAACAAACUGCUUUGAAACCUUGGUCGAGAGACUUGACAAUAACAAACUUCAGUCCGGAGUCAUUGCCGUGAUUGCUGUUGCUAUACUGAUUGUCGUCUUCUUUAUUCUCUUUGCAAUCUAUCACAGGAUAAACAACAUCAGAAAACAAAGGAAGGAAAAAGAAUUAGCGUUAAAAGUUGAGAAACUAGCAGCAAAAGAAGCUCAGAUGAAAUCAUCCAACUCAGCUUUAGCCGUCUCUUUCGAUAGCGGACCAUUUGAGGAAAGAUGUAUCAUGUGACCACCAUGGGUCUCUAAAUCUCGGCUGACUCUAUCAGAACAGCUGACCCUAUCUAAACAGCUAACUUAAUCAGAACAGCUGACCUUAUCGAAAUAGCUGCCCCAUCAGAACAGCUGACCAUAUCUUAAAGCUUAAUUCAUCCGAACAGCUGACCCUAUCCAAAUUCCAAACAGCUGAAAGCUAAAAACUGGAAUAAGAAAGACGACAUUCCCUGACUGUCUGUGAUAAACUAUGAUAGAUUCUCUUGUAUAACUACUACAGUGACUAACAAUAUUUCUAAAAUAUUCAGAAAUAGAAACUUCUGGAAUAAUUGAAUUUUAUAUCCAUGUAUUUAUUACUCGAACCUCUGUAUUUACUUAUAUUUUAGAACAAAAUAUUGCACGAUUUACCGAUUAUUAAAGAACUAUUUAAACAAAUUCUAAAACAUCUUAAAAUUUAGUUGAUUGUUGUUUAAAAAGUUGUAAACAAUUUCCUGUAAGAUAUUUGACGUUCAUUAAACGAAUAGCAAAUUCAAAAAAAUCAAUUUAUUUUGACGAAAUCUGUCCCAAAAACGUAAAAUGGGUGAUUGACACAAGAUUAAAAAUAGUUUUUUUUUGUAAUCUUAAAUUUUUGAU